rnacentral:rRNA from 1 species
UACGUAGGGGGCAAGCGUUGUCCGGAAUCAUUGGGCGUAAAGAGCGUGUAGGCGGCCAGAUAAGUCCGCUGUGAAAACUCGAGGCUCAACUUCGAGCUGUCGGUGGAAACUAUUUGGCUAGAGUCCGGAAGAGGAGAGUGGAAUUCCUGGUGUAGCGGUGAAAUGCGCAGAUAUCAGGAGGAACACCAAUGGCGAAGGCAGCUCGCUGGGACGGUACUGACGCUGAGACGCGAAAGCGUGGGGAGCAAACAGG